UGGGGUGGCGGUGCGGCGGGGCUGGUGUCUGCACCCGACUCUCAGGUUUUACCGCCCAAAGGCUGUGGCCGCCUGGUGAGCGAGAGGUCCUCAGUUGGAAGCCACGCCUCCAAGUAGUAGGAACAGGGAGAUCUGUUUGCUCUCCGCAACCUCUGCGCUGAUGUCUGAGGACUUCGUUUCCUCUACCAUACGAAAUGCAGUUCGAAAGCUCCAAUUGUGACCAGGCGGUUUCUUUUGUUUUGGCUCUGUAUCUCAUGUUGAACUGGAUAUAUGGUAUAGUCUCGAAGCUUCCUGAGUGUCAGAUUGCAGGCGCUGCUUCUCAUUUUAGGGAGACAAUUGGACCCACAUCCCACCCACUGCUCUCUUCUUUUUGCUACCGGGGAUUAACGUUAAAAAACAAAACAAAAAAACUGUAUUUAUCUUUCCUAGGCUAUCGCCUCUAAUUGCCUGCCCGAAGAGACGAGUUAGGUUGAAGAAAUUGAGGGUGUGUGAGACAACAGGAGGUCAAAUGUUUAAAUCUUAAUUUUUCUCGUGAGUUCCUUACAUAGUUAUUUAUAAACUACAAUCUUGAGAAUAACCUAGAAAGAAACGUCUAGUGUUUAGCAACUUUCUUUUUAACUACAUGAAUCAUACACAAGACUGACAGAAGCUAGACAGAUGGCUCAGAGGGUGAGAGCACUUGCUGCUGUAGGGAGAACAAAGCUUCUGGACUCAUAGCCUGUAACUCCAGCUCCAGAUCAGACAUGUUCUUCUGGCCACCUCAGAAACCGGAAAUCACAUGCACACAUAUGAACAUAACCCAAAGUAAUCAACACACAAUUGUUGAAAAUGCUUUCGCUUCAAAUCACUAUGGUUGAAAUAGAUGCAGGUUGACAGUUGGACAGUUGUCUGUAUUAACAUGCUUGUUUUUGUUCUCAUGUAGGGGUUCAUGUGGCUUGCACUGACUUGGAACUUGCUUUGCAGCAGAUGCUGGUCUUGAACCCCUGCCUCCACUUCCUUGGUGCUGGGAUAGUACAAAGGAGGCUCGUAGUUUACCGGUACCAGCACAUGGAUAUUUUUCUCCUCUGGCAGCUACAUGGCAUCUCCCUGACUCUGUCUUCUUUUCCUCCUCUAUUUGCUUAGAAUUCCCACCUUACUCAAUUCUGCCCUGCUGUAGGCCACAGUAGUUUUAUUCAUUAACCAAUGGUAUUCACAGCAUACAGAGGGGAACCCCACAUCAUAGAUGAGUACUAAUUCUAAAUUAGAGUAGUAAAGAUUAAGAUAAUAUAACCAGGUUGUAUAUUAUGACCAAUUUUAGGUCUUAUUAUAUAGAUAAGUGGACAUAAAUGCAUUAAAAUGAUUUGAGUUUCAGCUAACAGAAGAGUGGCCACUAAUAAAGUUACAAAGAACAAGCACUCUGAGCAUGUUCAAUUUAAAUGUUCAGGUAUAGAGAAUUUUACUGGCAAUAUUGGCCCAGGGCUAUAAGUUACAUUUUUAAUAGUCACCAAGUCUUAAGAAUUAGAAAACAGAUGUAAAAGAGAAAAAUAUACAUUUGCUGAGUUUUGUUUGAAACUAAUUCUUUUUUUUGUUGUUGUUCUUCUUUUGAAACUAAUUCUUGCAGUGUAGCCCAAACUCACCUUAAACCCAGGUGAUGAUCAUAGUUACCUUCUUGGCUCUUCUCAGCCUACUUAAAAUGAUUUUCUUUUUUAUUUAUUUAUUUAUUUUAGUUUUUCGAGAGAGACAGCAUUUCUUUGUAGUAGCUUUCGAGCCUGUCCUGG